rnacentral:rRNA from 1 species
CCUACGCGCGACAGCAGUGAGGGAUAUUGGUCAAUGGGGGAAACCCUGAACCAGCAACGCCGCGUGAGGGAAGACGGUUUUCGGAUUGUAAACCUCUGUCCUCUGUGAAGAUAAAGACGGUACCCGACCAAGAAGCCCCGGCUAACUACGUGCCAGCAGCCGCGGUAAUACGUAGGGGGCGGGCGUUAUCCGGAUUUACUGGGUGUAAGGGGAGCGUAGACGGCGAGGUAAGCCUGAAGUGGAAGCCCGCGGCCCAACCGCGGAACUGCUUUGGGAACUGUUUUGCUGGAGUAUGGGUGGGGUAGGCGGAAUGCGUGGUGUAGCGGUGAAAUGCGUAGAUAUCAGGAGGAACACCGGUGGCGAAGGCGGCUUACUGGACCAUAACUGACGUUGAGGCUCGAAAGCGUGGGGAGCGAACAGGAUUAGAUACCCGGGUAGUC